rnacentral:lncRNA from 1 species
UUUAUGAAGAAAUAAAGAUUGAGUAAGAUCUUCUGAUAGAGAUUGACUGAGAGAAAGAGUGAAUAAGAGCUUUUUUCUUCUGAAAGAAAUUGAGCAAGAGUAAGCAAGGCAUGAAAGAGGAGAAUGUUUCAUAGUACACAUACUUGAAAUGCAAUACACGUGGUCAUAAGAGAAGGGCAUGAAAGAGGCCAAAGUUCAUCGGUUGAAAGCGGCACAAGUUUUUAAGCUACA